GUUUAGGUCUGAAUAUGUUUCGAAUGGAAAUGGAAAGUGACUACAGAAUAGUAAAUCUGUCUGUUUUUGGGACGUGCCAGGCUGAAAAGACCUUUUUUAAUCAGAUCAUUUACUAAGAGAAACUAGAGACGUUCAGGGACCUACAUUCGGCAGAGACACACACUGGAGGAUUACGGGGACGGGAUCAUUUUACCCCAAAAAUGUGGCAGCUACACAAAAGCAUCCCAUCCGGCUGGACCUGAGGGACCAGAGGAGGGAGGGGUUACCACGGCGAUGGCAGAAUCCAGGAAACUCGAGAUGACAUAAAAGAAUGCAUUAACAGAGACUGAGAGAGCGAGAAAGAGAGAGAGGUACUUCCAAGAGGGCAAAAAGAGGUAAAACAAGUUAAUCAUUUUGAACUGCUGUAUGAAUGAGUGCAUGAUGUGUGUCUGUGCAUGUGAGAGAGAGAGGGACAGAGUGUGUGUAUGCGUGUGCAUUGUUUGUGCCUGGGAUCCCAUGUUAUUUUGGGCGUGUUGGAGGACAGUGCAUCAGGUGUAACAUUACUUUAGGCUGGGCAGUUUGCAGCACAUUAUAAGAAGCUGCACAAAAACAUCAUAGCUUCAGAUUUAAAUGUGCACAGCGUGGGUGUGUAUGUGUGAUGCAAACAAGACUUCUAUGAAUUAUGAUUUAUUAGACAGUUAAGUAAGUAAAACAUAUCUUUGUCAACCUCAACCUGAAACUUUGUGACCAACAUCCAAAGUAUUGCUUUUAUAUAUUUUAAACAGAAUUAAAUCGAUUAAUCACAA